AUCAAUUCACACUGAGGACAACUGAGGGACUCAAAUGAACAUAAGCACCCGAUUCGAACGUUAUCACUCGAUUGAAUGGGGCGUUAUCAGCGGUUAUCAGCCCAUAGCUAUGGGCCAGGAGGGGCCUCCUGCGCCUACUAGUAGGCUCAGAAGGCCGUGAUCAUCCAUCCAAAUGGUUGAUCACCAACAAAUAUACAAGAGAAGACUCCAGAUCCAAUCCCAGAAUUCCUGCUCACCGGUAAUCGGAAGUCUACUGGACGAAAGCGGGAACGUUGCGAUAUUUCCUGCUUAAUAUUUUCAGCAUACAUCUCCAGCUGGUUGCAAGGACUUCUGUGGCAAGUUUGUUUUAUUACUUCCAUGCUCUAUGUCUUUGUUGAACUAUCCAAAAUUUGGUUUUGGGCUGUUUAGAAUUUAUUGUUCACAAAUCUGUCUUGUGCAAGUUUCUCUCUGUUUGUGUUUUAGGUUGAAGAUGGCCCAGAGAGGUUAGCCUUACAGUUGCUGAUCUAGAAGCAUUAGGCAAGAGUGUCUGAGAAAGAUGGUAUGAUCUGCAACACUGUCUUUUUUUAUUACUGAUUUAUUACUGACUAUCUAUUUCUUUCUUUGUUGUUAUUCACCAAGAGAGAACUCCCAUUAAUGGGAAUCAAAAGGAAACCCUGAAAUCAUGUUUUAAGGAUGGAAUGACAUGAGUUGUUUCAGAAUUCAAGAGCUGCAUCAGCUACUGGUUUGGACACCAGUGUCGUAGAAAUAAGAACUGGAUAGGUAAUUACAAAAGAUCACAAAUGACUAAUGCUUCGUCUGAGCCCCGGCCAUCAAAGGCCAAAGUUCACAUUAGAGAGCUGUCGGAUUACAAUCUUUUUUAUAGGGACAUAUUCAAAAACAAAGUUUUUCCUCAGGCACAAUGAAUGAUAUUAAGGGCAGGUGCGCCACAUUGGGGGAAGAUGCAAAGCAGAAAUACAUUCAAGAGGCAGCAGCACUGAGGGCACAUGGGCAGUCACAGGACACUAAACCCUGAGAUGGAGGCAAUUUGUGCUGUGUCUGCCGCGUCCAUUUUUAUGAUAAGAAGAAGAAUGCAAGAAAGAAGUGGCAUUCAUGGUCUCAGUGCACAGUGUGCCAAUCAUGGUCACACACAGCAUGUGGCUUUAAAAAGAACAUGUGCCUUCACUGCAAAUGUGAAGACACCAUGCUAACACCCUGAAGAUGUAUCUUGUUACUUGUUUGAGUUGUUUUCACUGUGUUGACGGCCCCCAACCCAUCCAUACAAACACACACACACAAUACAUACAUAUGCUGCAAAUUUAUUGUAAUGACCACACUUCACACGUAAGAAGAAAAUUGUGAUCUUUUUGUUAUUUUCAUUCACCCCAUUUUUAUUUAUUAUUGUUGUUUGUUGGCACCAUCAAUGUGUUCUCCUUUAUACAGGACUUAUGUGGAGACCAAUAAAGUUAUAUUGUACUGAA